UACGGGGGGGGGUAAGCGUUGUUCGGAAUUACUGGGCGUAAAGGGCUCGUAGGCGGCCAACUAAGUCAUACGUGAAAUCCCUCAGCUUAACUGGGGAACUGCGUGUGAUACUGGAUGGCUUGGAUUUGGGAGAGGGAUGCGGAAUUCCAGGUGUAGCGGUGAAAUGCGUAGAUAUCGGAAGGAACACCAGUGGCGAAGGCGGCUACCUGGCUUGAUACUGACACUGAGGCGCGAAAGCGUGGGGAGCAAACAGG
rnacentral:rRNA from 1 species